AUGAAACAAACAAACGAAAAAAGAGUCAGUGUUCAUACAAUCAGAUUUCAACAAACCCACCCACAUUUUCCCUUCAUUGCCAGUUUGCAAAAUUCCCUAACCCUAGAAUCUACUAGCGUUAUCUAACUGCGUGCGCAUUCGCGCAAUGAAGACGCACUAUCCAAAACUGGUGAAUCGCUCAUGCAGAAAAUGCUAAAUCUGGGGAGAAAAGUUUUAGAACAGCCUCUUUUUCCCUUGUAUGCAUAAAUCAAUAGCCCCUAGAGUCUUACAACAAGCACGAGGCCAAGAUUUGCAGAAACGGCUGGAGUGGAAUUGGCUGUUUUGCUCUUCAGGGCUCCAAGCGGAGUCAUCUGAAAAUGGCCGGGAUUUUAGGAAGUGGUCUGGAAAAAACCCCCACCAGCUCUUUAAGUAGGGUUGGAAAGGUGAUAUAUAGCUGUGAUAGUCCAGGAAACACAGAAGCAAAGAUUUGUUGUUCUUCUGUCUUUUUGACAGACUGUACAGUUGGUUACCUUCUUUGUUACGAUCUAUGAAUCUCUGAACAUCUACGGAGAGAUGUUCGAAAACAUUCCAGGCACAAAGUGUCUUUUCUUUGGGUCUCUUUAAGGCAUUCUCAAUUAGGCGUAAAAAAAUAAUACAACAGAUCCCAUGUCCCAAGGCUCUGCUAAAAUCUGUCCCUACACACCAAACCUGUUCUCUGAGCCAGUCGCUCUCCCUCCCUGCGUCCCAGAGGGUGCAGGAAAGCAGAGCCGUUGAGGAUGUCCGGGCUCGGAGACCUCCUGCAGCGCUACAAAGCCCCUGCCUGAAAUGGGAACUUGAGAGAGGCAGGCUGGCCAUCCCUGAAAUGCUACAAACAGCCUGAACAUGCAAACACUUGCUUUUCAUAGCACGAUCAGGGCAUAUACAGCAGCGCUGCAGAAAGCAACGGGAGUCCCCAGGCCUUAGUUUCCCCAAUUUGCUCAAAAUAUUUCAAGACUUUCCUUUUCUUUUGAGGGCACUGCAAUCUCAUACACAGCAAACCACACCCAUCCUUGCUGGGCAUUGAACCGUCUUAAUUGUUAGCGUAUUGAGAUCAACACAUUAGCAGAGAUAUUUUUUCCCCCUGAAAAAACAACUAAAUGGACUGACAAGCUAAAAUCCUAAUUAGCUCUAAGAAGUCCCCCUCCUCCCCUCCACGCUCUCCCGCCCUCUCAGGGUCUCUCUCAGAUGUCCAGCUUGGCUUACAGGGCACAAACCUUCAAUGCAACUCAAAAGAUUUUUCAAAACUGACGUUUCCACAACUGAGACAUGAGCAGCCGUCACGUUAACAUCCAACUUGUUUCCAAGAGCAGGGAAGGAGAAAGACAGAGCCUCCCAACUCUUAACCAGAGAGCAAGAGCAUAACCGCAAUCAUUUCCACCAGUGCAGAAGUGAGAAUUCAGUCAAAUUCCUCUAGUCCGUCUGCAAGAAGAGGGCUGAAACAUUUCUCUUUCCAUCUCAGACCCUUAGGAUUCUUGCUAGAUUCAAAUACAAUCCAAGUGCACAACCUUUCAGAAGUUAAUACUUCAGCCACAAAUUGCAUCACCCCUUUGUAGCUUGCCAGGCCUAGGCUACGGGAUCAGCUUCUACAGACCACAAGGAGAAAGGGCAGCAGGGCUCAAGGGGCUGAGCUCCCUG